rnacentral:lncRNA from 1 species
AGGUUCUUCAUGUUGCUGCCAAGGAAUUAGGCUGCUCUAUUUCUUUGUGAUAUUAACUAGGGCAUUGGCAGCAAUUUUACUCUGACGAUAGGCGAGAGGCUUGCAUAGAGAAAUAGUAAGUAUUGAUUGAUUCGAAACAAGCAGUUUCCUAUUAGCUACUACUAAGCUUUCUCAUUCUGUUUGAGAAAUAAAACCUCAUAAUAGUUCCUUAUUCUGGCGAGAGGUUCGUACUUUUUCAUAUGAUGAGAUGAUCAUGUACAGUAACAUUAUGACAGGGCAACCAAGUUUCUCACCUAUCCUUGUUAUGUAGCUGUAUCUGUUUUGUAUGUUAUAAAAACCUCGUGUUAUUUCA